rnacentral:tRNA from 1 species
GAGAGAAAAUAAUGUACGAACUGCUAAUUCUACACCCCAUAUAUAACAAUAUGGUUCCCUCA